UAUAAAGGGCAGCCGCCAGUCUUGAACAGGACUGGCGGCUGCCCUUUUUUUCGAUGAACAAGAGGAAUCCGUUCUUCUGGAGUGCAGAAUGGAAG
rnacentral:sRNA from 1 species